GCGGGUGUAGCUCAGUGGUAGAGCUUCUGCCUUCCAAGCAGAAUGUCGAGGGUUCGAACCCCUUCGCCCGCUCCA
rnacentral:tRNA from 1 species